AGAGUUUGAUCCUGGCUCAGGAUGAACGCUGGCGGUAUGCCUAACACAUGCAAGUCGUACGAGAGUUUUUAACUCUAGUGGCGGACGGGUGAGUAACACGUGAGAAUUUGCCUUUAGGAGGGGGAUAACAAUUGGAAACGAAUGCUAAUACCCCAUAUGCUUUUGAGUGAAACGGAUUUAUCCGCCUAGAGAGAAGCUCGCGGCUGAUUAGCUUGUUGGUAAGGUAAGAGCUUACCAAGGCGACGAUCAGUAUCUGGUUUGAGAGGACGAUCAGACACACUGGAACUGAGACACGGUCCAGACUCCUACGGGAGGCAGCAGUGGGGAAUUUUCCGCAAUGGGCGAAAGCCUGACGGAGCAAUACCGCGUGAGGGAAGACUGCCUAUGGGUUGUAAACCUCUUUUUUCAGGGAGGAAUAAAUGACGUGUACCUGAAGAAUAAGCAUCGGCUAACUCCGUGCCAGCAGCCGCGGUAAGACGGAGGAUGCAAGUGUUAUCCGGAAUCACUGGGCGUAAAGCGUCUGUAGGUGGCCUAAUAAGUCAACUGUUAAAUCUUGAGGCUCAACUUCAAAAUCGCAGUCGAAACUAUUAGACUAGAGUAUAGUAGAGGUAAAGGGAAUUUCCAGUGGAGCGGUGAAAUGCGUAGAUAUUGGAAAGAACACCGAUGGCGAAAGCACUUUACUGGGCUAUUACUAACACUCAGAGACGAAAGCUAGGGUAGCAAAUGGGAUUAGAUACCCCAGUAGUCCUAGCCGUAAACAAUGGAUACUAGAUGUUGAACAGAUCGACCUGUGCAG
rnacentral:rRNA from 1 species